CUCCUAUGUUAAUGAUAUGUUUAUUCUUUUAUGCCACAUUUAUAGACAGAUCAAGAUAUCCCAACAUUGUGAUUAUGUCAUCAAAUAUAUUUCAAGUUUUCAGUCAAGAUCUAGAUUGAGUGUUUGCAGGAGUCAUUUUUAUAUUGAAGACAGUUUUCUCCCACCUGAAGUCAAUGGAGCUGAUAAAACUUUCACUUAUUGCUUUGUACCCCAACUCUCCAAUCCACAGUACCUGUCAGUAGUUACCAAGCAACAGUGACAAACGUGUGCCUCCUAUACAUUGGCAUUCACUGCCGUUAUGCUGUAUUGUACGAUAUUGCUGCGUAUGUUUACAAUGUUGGCCGGAAUUUGGAAGCUGGUGAAGUGAUUUCACGUUGUCAGGGGUGCUUGCCAUACACUGAUGAUGGCAAAGGAAAAGAUGCAAGAAAUGUGAGUUAUUAAUGAUGUUGUUGAGCUGCUGGAUAAAGCAAUUUGUGAGACUCAUUAUCUUGGACUCUGUUAUUGAGUGAUAUAGUUUCCUAUUGCUGUUGUAACAAAUUACCACAAAUUCAGUGGUUUAACACAACAAAAACUUAUCAUACAGUUCUGGAAAUCAGAACUCCAAAAU
rnacentral:lncRNA from 1 species